rnacentral:lncRNA from 1 species
UGCGACCUCUGCUUCCUCCUUGCAGCCCUUUAGCACUGUAGUGGUGCUCUCUGGUAGCAUCCAGUGUGGAGAUGGACCACAGGUGCCAUUGCAUAGCCACCCUAGGCCCCAAGAGAAGCUGUGGACAUUGCAACAUGCUCUGAGGGUCUUGUUUGUUCAUCCAGCCUCAGUUCUCCACCAGAAGGGUAACUCAACCGUUAAGUCAGCACCUGCCUUCAGUAUCCAACAGACUGCAGAACCCACCUUUGUGUGAAGGAGGUCAAGGCCCUCUAAAGUUUGUGCUAAAUCUCUAUUUGAACUUCAAGUUACAUUUUUAAUUAGAAGAACACUACAAUAGGCGUGAAGAACUACAACAAAAUAGGAAUACUAGUAAUAACAGGGGCAGGAUAUUUGCAUUCAAAAUCAGAAUAGAAUUAAAUUUAAAGGAAGAGUCCACAUAUUAUCCUAAGCUUUGCAUUUGGCGAUUUGGAUUGCUCCUUAAACAAGCCUCCUUUCUAGCUUGGCCUCUCAGCAGAGAGCAGAAGAGGGCACGGGCCAUUCACCUGUUAGUAACACAGAACGUGAUCCACAAGUGACUCCUAGCUACAAAGUCAAAGGCAAAAGC